UCCAAAGUGGCUAACUAAGUAAUGUAGGAAGGUUACACAUGUCAUUUGGAUCACAAUAUUAAGCAAUUUGUUUACUUUGGGAGAAACUUCAAUUUGAAGGAACCCAAAACGUCCAGCAACAUUAUUACAUGGAAAUUUUUAUAUGCAGUUCGUUCACAUUCAAGUCCUAAAAAGAGAUGUUUGUGAAAUUUCCCCCUUCCCCUUCGUUUGUAUCUCGUGGAGUACCAGCAAGUAGUUGAAGGUUUCAUUUUCAUAAAUUUCCCUCCAGUUUAGUGAAUUCUAGAUCAAACAUAGUGGUGUUUCUCCAUCAAUUUCAUAGCUAUAUCAUUGGUUUCUCCCGAAUCCUACCAAGCUGGAAAUUACUUCGUGGUGAAGUCAAAUGAAGAUAAGCUUGACUUGUGAAGUAGGCUGGUCUUGCCAUCUCGGUUGAAAGGUCGACUUAAAGGUACUCCCAGGUGAGUUGAAGACAGUAUAGAAGAUGUUCCAGUGCAGAUGGCAAGCUCCAUUUGUUCCCGGAGUGCUGCCGAGUCAGAGUUGGUAUGUUAUGCUUUCUGGAUUACGUUAGAGACUUUGCAGACAGCGUCGUGGGUAUUGGUUGUCAGUCUGUAAGCGGCUCCGUCAGCCAAAAUGUCGGUUCAGAUACACGUUUUGGUGAACCGCCGGCUUAGGAUUUUUCCUUCUGCUAUCUUGGAGAGUUCCGUUGUUCCGGAGCCCAGACUUUGGUAUAGAUCCUUUUUGAUCUAAAUAUAUGCAUAUGUUGUUCGAGGGUACGACGGGGCCCUGUCCCGUCAUAUUUCUCUGUUGAAACUCUUAGAGGUCUGUGGACAUGUAUGUGGGUUGUAUUCAGAUGUGGUCAGUUGUGUACAUGAUCAUUUUGCGUGUUCUAUCGCUGUAGCAGCCUUGUCGGUGUGCUUGUGUUAUUGUGUCGUAGUGGCAGCCUUGUCUGCUUGCGUAAUGUUUUGAUGUGCAGAGGCAGCCUUGUCGGCUUAUGUACUGCGUUAUCUGUUGAUAGUUGUGACUCCUCAGGAGACAGAUUGCUGGAUAUAUAUAUUUAUGUGACAGCUCC